GACGAACGCUGGCGGCGUGCUUAACACAUGCAAGUCGAACGGUAAGGCCCUUCGGGGUACACGAGUGGCGAACGGGUGAGUAACACGUGGGUGAUCUGCCCUGCACUUCGGGAUAAGCCUGGGAAACUGGGUCUAAUACCGGAUAGGACCCUGGGAUGCAUGUCCUGGGGUGGAAAGCUUUUGCGGUGUGGGAUGGGCCCGCGGCCUAUCAGCUUGUUGGUGGGGUGAUGGCCUACCAAGGCGACGACGGGUAGCCGGCCUGAGAGGGUGACCGGCCGCACUGGGACUGGGAUACGGCCCAGACUCCUACGGGAGGCAGGAGUGGGGAAUAUUGCACAAUGGGCGCAAGCCUGAUGCAGCGACGCCGCGUGAGGGAUGACGGCCUUCGGGUUGUAAACCUCUUUCAGCACCGACGAAGCGCAAGUGACGGUAGGUGCAGAAGAAGGACCGGCCAACUACGUGCCAGCAGCCGCCGCCG
rnacentral:rRNA from 1 species